rnacentral:SRP_RNA from 2 species
GCCAGGUGUUGUGGAGCACGCCUGUAAUCCCCGCUACUCAGGAGGCUGAGGCAGAAGAAUCGCUUGAACCCAGGAGGCGGAGGUUGCAGUGAGCCAAGAUUGUGCCACUGCCUUCCAGCCUGAGUAACAGAGUGAGAUUCCGUCUCUC